GACAGAGGGUGCAAACGUUGCUCGGAAUCACUGGGCGUAAAGGGCGUGUAGGCGGGAAGGAAAGUCGGGCGUGAAAUCCCUGGGCUCAACCCAGGAACUGCACUCGAAACUUCUUUUCUUGAGUGCCGGAGAGGAAAGCGGAAUACCUGGUGUAGAGGUGAAAUUCGUAGAUAUCAGGUGGAACACCAGUGGCGAAGGCGGUUCUCUGGGCCUUACCUGACGCUGAGGAGCGAAAGCGUGGGGAGCGAACAGG
rnacentral:rRNA from 1 species